rnacentral:rRNA from 1 species
CAGCAUAAUUUUUUGUGGUGCAUUUACUUGAUUGGUGCUUGGGGAUGUUUGAGGCAGAUUUGUUUCCGUCGUUUUGAGGCCAGCUUGCUGGUACCCAAACGGUGUUAGCAUUUUUUGUCUUGGGCAUUUGAGUAUGGCUCACGUGUAUUUAUUGGACAGAUCUGAGUGUAAGUUACGGUCGCAUGCGACACGUGCUUUUCAAUUAGUUCGGUCCAGUUAAUGCUCUCGUACUCGUUCCCCAUGUAAAAGCCGGUCAUCUAUCCGACCCGUCUUGAAACACGGACCAAGGAGUUUAUCGUGUGCGCAAGUUUUUGGGUGUUAAAAACUUAAAAGCGAAAUGAAAGUAAAUGACUCUUUAGAGUCUGAUGUGCGAUCUUGUAAAAAAGUGUAGCAUGGCCCCAUUCUAACUGUUUACAGUAGGGUGGCGGAAGAGCGUACGCGGUGAGACCCGAAAGAUGGUGAACUAUUCCUGAGCAGGACGAAGCCAGAGGAAACUCUGGUGGAAGUCCGAAGCGGUUCUGACGUGCAAAUCGAUCGUCUGACUUGGGUAUAGGGGCGAAAGACUAAUCGAACCAUCUAGUAGCUG